AUCGUUUCUUGGUCCCUUGGUUAAGCUCAGGUGUAGUAUAUGUUCUUAUCAGUUCUACUAUCUGAUACGCCCCCUCUCUGGGACUUAUUUAUUAAAGGAAAUUUUAGAAUAGGGAGAAAAGCUUUCUCUUUCCACUCCAUGCUUUGACCUGGUAUUGCAGUACUUCCAGGACCGGUACACAAACC